rnacentral:rRNA from 1 species
AUUGAACGCUGGCGGCAUGCUUUACACAUGCAAGUCGAACGGCAGCGCGGGCUUCGGCCUGGCGGCGAGUGGCGAACGGGUGAGUAAUGCAUCGGAACGUGCCCAGUAGUGGGGGAUAGCACGGCGAAAGCCGGAUUAAUACCGCAUACGACCUGAGGGUGAAAGCGGGGGACCGAAAGGCCUCGCGCUAUUGGAGCGGCCGAUGUCGGGCUAGCCAGUUGGUGGGGUAAAGGCUUACCAAGGCGACGAUCCGUAGCUGGUCUGAGAGGUCGACCAGCCGCACUGGGACUGAGACACGGCCCAGAGUCCUACGGGAGGCAGCAGUGGGGAAUGUUGGACAAUGGGGGCAACCCUGAUCCAGCCAGGCCGCGUGCGGGAAGAAGGCCUUCGGGUUGUAAAGCGCUUUUGUUCGGGAAGAAAUGCUCUGGGCUAAUACCCCGGGGGGAUGACGGUACCGGAAGAAUAAGCACCGGCUAACUACGUG